UUUUGGAGUCGAGGGUGAAAGGGGCUUAGACGAAGUCUCGCUCGAUGGUUUUAAUCGGUCGUAGCGAACGCCUGUCACCGAUCUCGACCUCUUUUUUUUAUUGCGGAUUGUCGCCGGCAGCUCCGCCAAAUUUUGAGUUUUUUUUGCCUCUACGAAGUAGUACUGGCGGGGACGGAGACGGCCAAGCGAGAGGUGGGGGUGCAAAGUGAGAGAAGAGUGAGAGUUGGUGCCGAGAAGAGGUGAUUUGAGUUUGGCGAGGUUUGACCUGAUGGUUUCCUUUCUUUUUUGAGAGUACUCAGUUCCAUAGAUUGAUAGUGAGGCGUAUCCCUUGUAUAAGGGUCCACGCCAGGGGCGAAGUUUCGGAGCCGUACAGAGGCGACGUAGAGGGCAGCGAAACGAGGGAAAUUUGCUGGGCGUAGCGCCAGCUAGGAGACCCGGAGUUUUUGGAUGAUCGCGACGUCGAAGACGCGGACCUGGUGAGUUGAACAUCGGGGGAUCCAGGCCGCGGCAGGACUUGGUCAGCGCGUCGCCGUCGUCCUGUGGGAAGACUCCUGUUUUUUUGAGCUACGAGUAAAAGAACACGCCUUAUCGCGAUCGGAAAUUUUCUUAUCGUUUGUCGCCAGACCCAACCGUUUUUUUCUGCGUCUCUCUCUUUCACUCUUUACAUGCUUUUCAACGUUUUUUCAAAUUUUCACGUACCCGCAUAAAUUUGAUGGCGCCCAAUUUUUUUUAUUUGUGAAAUAGUCAGCAUUUCCUGUAACUAGCUAGUAGACCGUUGUUGCGUAGUAGUUCGUCAGUUCAUUUGUUAUGGUAAUUCGUUACUGACAUUAGUUGUAGUUUUGUUACCUUUUACUAACCUAGAUAAUAUUUUUUUUUUGUACUAAAAGCCCUAAAUAUUUUAAUUAUUAUACAGCUCGCCAAAAUAA